GGCUGUCAUCCUGCUCCACUGAUGUCUUUUUUUUUUCUUGUAGAAUCACAGAAUCACCACAGCUGGAAAAGACCUUCAAGAUCAUCGAAUCCAACCGUCUUUCCGUGCCAGCAGGUGGUUUGCAGAAGCAGAGGGUGAAGCUACGCCCUCUGCUUUCUUCAUCUGCCUCAUUGUGCGUCAUGACACUCCCCAGCUCUGGAAGAAGCUGUUGAUUUAGGUCCGCUGCCCUCACUUCCUGUUGUAUCCUCCCCAAAACCUGUUUGUCCCAUCAGCAGUUCUUAUUCCAGUUUCCAAAGCCACACCUGCCUUUUUAUUUGUUUGUUGUAAUCUCCUUUGAAGGGUACAUUCUGUUUAUGUUAUGAACUUGACUUUUCCCCUUUGUGCACUUGCAACACUACCUGAAAUUUGAAAACAGCCCCUCACUUAUCUGUUGUAGCCACAGAUUAGAGUAGGCUACCUUGAUAUAAAUGCAGUAUUGGCAUAAACAUUUAGGAGCAACUUGGGCCAAGAAUAGUAGGAUUAAAUCUUACUCUGCCAGAAAA